rnacentral:rRNA from 1 species
UUAAGCAUAUUAAUUAGGGGAGGAAAAGAAACUAACAAGGAUUUUCUUAGUAGCGGCGAGCGAAAAGAAAUCAGUUCAGCACUAAGUCACUUUGUCUAUAUGGCAAAUGUGAGAUGCAGUGUAUGGAGCGUCAAUAUUCUAGUAUGAGAAAUUAACGAUUUAAGUCCUUCUUAAAUGAGGCCAUUUACCCAUAGAGGGUGCCAGGCCCGUAUAACGUUAAUGAUUACUAGAUGAUGUUUCCAAAGAGUCGUGUUGCUUGAUAGUGCAGCACUAAGUGGGUGGUAAACUCCAUCUAAAACUAAAUAUAACCAUGAGACCGAUAGUAAACAAGUACCGUGAGGGAAAGUUGAAAAGAACUCUGAAUAGAGAGUUAAAUAGUACGUGAAACUGCUUAGAGGUUAAGCCCGAUGAACCUGAAUAUCCGUUAUGGAAAAUUCAUCAUUAAAGUUAUAAUAUUUAAACAAUAUUAUACAAAUAAUGUGCAUUUUUUCCAUAUAAGGACAUUGUAAUCUAUUAACAUAUUAAAUUUAUCAUAAAAUAUGGCUUAUAGUUUAUUCAAAUUAUUAUGCUUGCAUUUUAACAUAGAAUAAAUGUCAUUAAUUUGAUAAAGUGUUGAUAGACUAAUAAGAAUACAGUGCGUUAAUUUUUCGGAAUUAUAUAAUGGCAUAAUUAUCAUUGAUUUUUGUGUUUAUUAUAAGCACUUGUAUGAUUAACAAUGCGAAAGAUUCAGGAUACCUUCGGGACCCGUCUUGAAACACGGACCAAGGAGUCUAACAUAUGUGCAAGUUAUUGGGAUAUAAACCUAAUAGCGUAAUUAACUUGACUAAUAAUGGGAUUAGUUUUUUAACUAUUUUAUAGCUAAUUAACACAAUCCCGGGGCGUUCUAUAUAGUUAUGUAUAAUAAUAUUUAUAUUAUUUAUGCCUCUAACUGGAACGUACCUUGAGCAGAUAUGCUGUGACCCGAAAGAUGGUGAACUAUACUUGAUCAGGUUGAAGUCAGGGGAAACCCUGAUGGAAGACCGAAACAGUUCUGACGUGCAAAUCGAUUGUCAGAAUUGAGUAUAGGGGCGAAAGACCAAUCGAACCAUCUAGUAGCUGGUUCCUUCCGAAGUUUCCCUCAGGAUAGCUGGUGCAUUUUAAUGUUAUAUAAAAUAAUCUUAUCUGGUAAAGCGAAUGAUUAGAGGCCUUAGGGUCGAAACGAUCUUAACCUAUUCUCAAACUUUAAAUGGGUAAGAACCUUAACUUUCUUGAUAUGAAGUUUAAGGUUAUGAUAUAUUGUGCCCAGUGGGCCACUUUUGGUAAGCAGAACUGGCGCUGUGGGAUGAACCAAACGUAAUGUUACGGUGCCCAAAUUAACAACUCAUGCAGAAACCAUGAAAGGCGUUGGUUGCUUAAAACAGCAGGACGGUGAUCAUGGAAGUCGAAAUCCGCUAAGGAGUGUGUAACAACUCACCUGCCGAAGCAACUAGCCCUUAAAAUGGAUGGCGCUUAAGUUGUAUACCUAUACAUUACCGCUAAAGUAGAUGAUUUAUAUUACUUGUAAUAUAAAUUUUGAAACUUUAGUGAGUAGGAAGGUACAAUGGUAUGCGUAGAAGUGUUUGGCGUAAGCCUGCAUGGAGCUGCUAUUGGUACAGAUCUUGGUGGUAGUAGCAAAUAAUCGAAUGAGACCUUGGAGGACUGAAGUGGAGAAGGGUUUCGUGUGAACAGUGGUUGAUCACGAGUUAGUCGGUCCUAAGUUCAAGGCGAAAGCCGAAAAUUUUCAAGUAAAAAUAAAAUUUACUAUAUGUAAAAAUUAUAUACUUGAAUAAUUUUGAACGAAAGGGAAUACGGUUCCAAUUCCGUAACCUGUUGAGUAUCCGUUUGUUAUUAAAUAUGGGCCUCGUGCUCAUCCUGGCAACAGGAACGACCAUAAAGAAGCCGUCGAGAGAUAUCGGAAGAGUUUUCUUUUCUGUUUUAUAGUCGUACUACCAUGGAAGUCUUUCGCAGAGAGAUAUGGUAGAUGGGCUAGAAGAGCAUGACAUAUACUGUUGUGUCGAUAUUUUCUCCUCGGACCUUGAAAAUUUAUGGUGGGGAUACGCAAACUUCUCAACAGGCCGUACCAAUAUCCGCAGCUGGUCUCCAAGGUGAAGAGUCUCUAGUCGAUAGAAUAAUGUAGGUAAGGGAAGUCGGCAAAUUAGAUCCGUAACUUCGGGAUAAGGAUUGGCUCUGAAGAUUGAGAUAGUCGGGCUUGAUUGGGAAACAAUAAUAUGGUUUAUGUGCUCGUUCUGGGUAAAUAGAGUUUCGAUCAUUUAUGGUUGUAACUUGUUCCCCGGAUAGUUAGUUACGUAUCCAAUUGUGGAACUUUCUUGCUAAAAUUUUUAAGAAUACUAGUUGGGUCAAACCAAUUAGUUCUUAUUAAUUAUAACGAUUAUCAAUUAACAAUCAAUUCAGAACUGGCACGGACUUGGGGAAUCCGACUGUCUAAUUAAAACAAAGCAUUGUGAUGGCCCUAGCGGGUGUUGACACAAUGUGAUUUCUGCCCAGUGCUCUGAAUGUCAAAGUGAAGAAAUUCAAGUAAGCGCGGGUCAACGGCGGGAGUAACUAUGACUCUCUUAAGGUAGCCAAAUGCCUCGUCAUCUAAUUAGUGACGCGCAUGAAUGGCUUAACGACGGACGUGUUUUGGAGUGCUCCGUAUUUAAAGUCAUUUUUCUCCGGUAAUUCGGUGUCGUAGACGAUUAAAAUUGGUGUUAAAAUUCGCGUAUUAAUUGCGCGAAUCGAACAGUGAUAUUUUUUCGUCGGGAAAUCAAGUUUUUCAUUCGAAAAACAGUGUUUUUCGUUUUCACGUGUUGGCACGUGGUGGAAAUUUUCCACUGAAAAAGCUCGGUGAGUGAGUACUUGUAAAGCUUUAGUGCAGAAGUGUGUGUGAGAGUACUCAAGAGAGAGCUUGAGAGAGAGCUUUGAGAGUGUUUUCUCGCUCGCGCUUUUGCGUGCUUACACGAGCUUUUGAGUGUGCUUCUUGUGCAAGCUUUGGUGCGUGCUUUUGCGCGCGCUUCAGUAAACACUUGGAGCAUACUUUUGGGCUGCCUUAUUUUUGCAUAUAUUUUCUGUUGCAUAUUUUUGGGCCCCAUUUUCAGCACAGCUCCACCAGGCGGCGCCACUUGCCCAGAUAAAGGGCAACAUGAGCGCCAUGAGCGCUAUGAGCGCAUUGUCGGAGAGUGAGCUCUCUGCAAGCAGCCGGGCAAGCAGUCGCGCAAGUAGUGCGAUUGGUGCUGCACGGGGACGCCGUCGAGGACGCAAGUCCAAGGCGACGAGCCUCUCGGCGCCAACGCAGGCCAAGUUGUUGGCCGCUACUGGAGCGGACAGACCGGAGCCAGUUGGGGUGUUGGAGGAGUUGGCGCUCUCCUCGUUGGAGACGCCGGUGAUGCCAGCUACCUCAGCUGUUGAUGCCUCCGCCGCUACCUUUGCUGCCCCCGCUGU